GGCCAAACUAGAAAUUAGUUUUACAUAACAACUUUCAUCCUUUGUGUAUCACAGUCUGCUUUUUGUGUCUGUAACAGGCAAUGUUGUUUCGCACCCCUCUCUACGUUCCCCAUCUCGUUCCUGAAGCCAAGGAUAUAACAAGUAUUGGAUUUUCAGACUUCAGGUGGCAAUUCUUUAUCUUGAUAACAGCUUCUUGUACAGUUUGAGUCCCUGAGAUAUUCACCUUUAGCACAAAAAAAAUCCUUUUUUCCUUUGCCCUGUGUCACUCAAUUUUGUGUGUGUGUGUGGGGGGGGGGGGGGUUGCCAGGAAAGUAGGACAUCCAACUAGAUUCUACCUUACCUUUCAAAGGCCCUGUAGUACAACAACGCCUGGGACACAACGACAAAAACAAGACUAACGUAUUGCUAUGAUGGUAUAACAGCAUUGUGUGUUAUUGCACAAAUUUCCUUGCUGAUGCAUCAUUGAAUAGGAUAAUGCACUUGAGAUCAGAACGGCUUGCAUUUUGCCAGAGUUUUCCUUCCUUUAACACUAACACAGAGCUUAAAAGCAAGCCAAAUUCCUUCCCCUUUCCAUUGAUCCACCUGGCUCUGUGCCUGGAGUAAGAGCAAGUUCUGCUCGCUGACUCAUGCUUGUUUUGUCUUAGCUACUCUUUGGAAAGGCUCAGAUUGCUUGUGUCAGAACCAUGGAAGCAUUUCCCACCAUAUCUGAAAAUCACAGAUAUGUCCUGCGUUAGUGGAAGUGGAGUGUAAAAAAGAACAAGGAGGAACCAUACUCAGAGGUGGAUUGGCAGGCAGGACACUGACACUCACAGGAGCCAGAGGUGGUGAGCCAGUUCAGCAAUAUUCAUCUUUGGCUUGUUUUUUCACUGAUCUUCAGUGCCAAAUGUUGGGGAGGUGUCUGUAUGGAUGCAGAAAGAUUUACGAGAGAGAAGGGAAAUGGAUAAGACCUGGACAAGUACUGAAGUUCUCCUGGAUCCAACGUCCCUGCCAACAAAGGUGAUUAUGUAUGUCAACCCCUAUUUCAUACCUGAUUCUUUGACAAUAAGCAUUUAAAAAUAUGUGUCUUUAUGUGUAUUCAAGUCAUCUGUCUACUUAUUUAUUCCCAGCAUUUAUAUCCCACCCUUCUCACCUGAAGGGACUCAGGGUGGCUUACAAUUGGCAAAAUUAAAUGCCUACACAAAUUAUAAAUCAAAAACAGUACAUACAAUCAAUUAAAAACUAUUAAAAUACAAUAAAAAUUGUCUUAUGAUGACCCAUGAAUUUCUACUUAUGAUUGAUGACCCAUGAAUUUCAUAGGGUUAUCUUAGGCAAGGACUACUCAGAGAUGGUGUUGCCAGUUUCUUCCUCUAAAAUAGAUUGUACACAUGUUGUUUUAAUUCACAAUCUCUCAUCCAAGGACUAACCAAGGCUAGCACUGGUCAGCUUCAAAAAUCAGAUCUGGUAUUUUGCCCCAUGUCUCUCCUUAUUCAUUUCAUUUUUAAAGCAAAGCAACCCUAUCUCCAUGCAUCAGAUGGACUGAAGCCCAUAAAAGCUUAUGCUUAAAU
rnacentral:lncRNA from 11 species